rnacentral:rRNA from 1 species
AUUGAACGCUGGCGGCAUGCUUUACACAUGCAAGUCGAACGGCAGCACGGGCUUCGGCCUGGUGGCGAGUGGCGAACGGGUGAGUAAUAUAUCGGAACGUACCCAGAAGUGGGGGAUAACGUAGCGAAAGUUACGCUAAUACCGCAUACGAUCUAUGGAUGAAAGCAGGGGACCGCAAGGCCUUGUGCUCCUGGAGCGGCCGAUAUCUGAUUAGCUAGUUGGUGAGGUAAAGGCUCACCAAGGCGACGAUCAGUAGCUGGUCUGAGAGGACGACCAGCCACACUCGAACUGAGACACGGUCCAGACUCCUACGGGAGGCAGCAGUGGGGAAUUUUGGACAAUGGGCGCAAGCCUGAUCCAGCAAUGCCGCGUGAGUGAAGAAGGCCUUCGGUUGUAAAGCUCUUUUGUCAGGGAAGAAACGGUAGAGGCUAAUAUCCUUUGCUAAUGACGGUACCUGAAGAAUAAGCACCGGCUAACUACGUG